rnacentral:misc_RNA from 1 species
GAUGAAGAACGCAGCGAAAUGCGAUAAGUAAUGUGAAUUGCAGAAUUCAGUGAAUCAUCGAAUCUUUGAACGCACAUUGCGCCCCUUGGUAUUCCGAGGGGCAUGCCUGUUCGAGCGUCAUUAUAACCCCUCAAGCUCAGCUUGGUGUUGGGGCCUGCUGCACUGGCAGCCCUUAAAAUCAGUGGCGGCGCCAUCUGGCUCUAAGCGUAGUAAUUCUUCUCGCUAUGGAGUCCUGGUGGAUGCUGGCCAUAAACCCCCAAUUUUUCUAUGGUUGACCUCGGAUCAGGUAGGGAUACCCGCUGAACUUAAGCAUAUCAAUAAGCGGAGGA